AGAUUGAACGCUGGCGGCAUGCCUUACACAUGCAAGUCGAACGGCAGCACGGGAGCAAUCCUGGUGGCGAGUGGCGAACGGGUGAGUAAUAUAUCGGAACGUGCCCAGUCGUGGGGGAUAACGCAGCGAAAGCUGUGCUAAUACCGCAUACGAUCUCUGGAUGAAAGCGGGGGACUCAGCAAUGAGCCUCGCGCGAUUGGAGCGGCCGAUAUCAGAUUAGCUAGUUGGUGGGGUAAAAGCUCACCAAGGCGACGAUCUGUAGCUGGUCUGAGAGGACGACCAGCCACACUGGAACUGAGACACGGUCCAGACUCCUACGGGAGCAGCAGUGGGAAUUUUGGACAAUGGCGCAAGCCUGAUCCAGCAAUGCCGCGUGCAGGAUGAAGGCCUUCGGUGUAACUGUCUUUGUACGGAACGAACGUCUACUUACUAAUAAGAGGACUAAUGACGUAACCGUAAG
rnacentral:rRNA from 1 species